GUAGGGCCCUCCCCUGCGCUCCACCCACCUGGCUACCCACCAGACCCAGCUGCUGUCCACCUUACCAGGGAGGCCACCUUGACCGCCUGUGUCAGGGCUGGCAUUAGCCCAGGUCUUCACGGCCGUGGUCUGGACCUGAGCCCGUUCUCCGCCUUCUGUACAGCACAGACCCAUCCGGCCCCACGGGUUGCCGACCUCAGCCCAAGGUCACCACCGGCCUGAGCAGCUCUGGCGUGAGCAGCCGUCUGCCAGCCCCCUGGCUGAGCCCAGGACGCCCACUGCUUCCCACAGCCAUCCAGAGAGGAUUGAGGAUUGGGGGAGCCAAGAGGUCAAGGUGCUGGUCCUUCUGGCAUUGCAGGUGCCCGCUGAGGCUGUGUGGUGUUGUCCAGCUCGCAGGCAGGAAAACCCAGGCUGAGUGUCACCAGGACAGGACGGGGGCGGCAAGGAAGCUCGGCGUUACAGACCCAAGAGUGGAACCCCGGGUCCUGUGGGUCAUCGGGCCCAUCCCGGGAACUGCAUCGUUCCAUGGGCAGACCCAAGAGUGGAACCCCGGGUCCUGUGGGUCAUCGGGCCCAUCCCGGGGAACCGCAUCGUUCCAUGGGCUUCCCAGGUGGCGCUGUGGUAAGGAACCUGCCUGCCAGUGCAGGAGACGCAAGAGGCCCGGGUUCCGUCCCUGGGUUGGGAAGAUCCCCUGGAGGAGGAAAUGGCAACCCAAUGCAGUAUUCUUGCUUGGAGGAUCCCAUGGACAGAGGAGCCUGGGGGGCUGCGGUCCAUGGGGUCGCAAAGAGUCGGACACGACUGCCACCUCCUGCCAAUGCUUGGCAUCUGCCUGGCUCUGUUUUGGUGAUGGCCAUCCUGGUGGGUGCAAGGUGGGAUCUCAGGGUGGGGUGUGUGUGCGUGUGUGAGUGUGAGUGUGUGACUGUGUGUGUGAGUGUGUGAGUGCGGGUGUGUGAGUAUGAGUGUGUGUGUGUGAGUGUGUGAGUGCGUGUGAGUAUGAGUGUGUGACUGUGUGAAAGUGUGAGUGUGUGAGUGUGUGUGUGAAUGUGUGAGUGCAUGAGUGCAUGUGAGUGUGUGUGUGUGAGUGCCUGUGAGUGCAUGAGUGUGUGUGUAUGAAUGUAUGUGAGUGCGAGUGUGAGUGCAUGUGUGUGAAUGUGUGUGUGAGCACAUGUGAGUGUGUGUGAAUGUGUGUGAGCACGUGUGAGUGCAUGUGUGUGAAUGUAUGAGAGUGUGUGUGAGUGCGUGUGUGUGUAUGAGUGUGUGUGAGCGUGAGUUUGUGUGUGUGAGCACGUGUGUGUGUGAUGCAUGUGUGAAUGUGUAUGAGUGUGUGAGUGUGAGUGCAUGUGUGUGUGAGUGCAUGUGAGUGUGCAUGUGUGUGUGAGCGUAUGUGAGCGCACGUGUGUGUGAGUGUGUGAAUGUGUGUGAGUGUGAGUGCGUGUGUGUGUGUGUGAAUGUGUGUGAGCACGUGAGUGUGAGUUUGUGAGCGCGUGUGUGAGUGUGAGUGCAUGUGUGUGUGUGUGAAUGUGUGAGCACGUGUGAGUGUGUGUGAGCACGUGUGUGUGUGAGUGCGUGUGUGAAUGUGUGUGUGUGUGAAUGUGUGAGCGCGUGUGAGUGUGAGUGUGUGAGCACGUGUGAGUGUGUGUGUGUGUGUGUGAAUGUGUGUUAGCACGUGAGUGUGAGUUUGUGAGCACGUGUGUGAGUGUGAGCGCAUGUGUGUGUGUGUGAGUGCGUGUGUGUGUGCGUGUGUGUGUGAGUGUGUGUGAGCACGUGAGUGUGAGUUUGUGAGCGUGUGUGUGUGAGUGUGAGCGCAUGUGUGUGUGUGUGAAUGCGUGUGUGAAUGUGUAUGACAGUGUGUGUGUGAGUGCGUGUGUGUGUUAGCACAUGUGAGAACACACGUGUGUGUGUGAAUGUGAGUGUGAGUGUGUGAGUGCAUGUGAGUGUGAGUGCAUGUGUGUGUGUGUGAAUGUGUGAGCACGUGUGAGUGUGAGUGUGUGAGCACGUGUGUGUGUGAGUGCGUGUGUGAAUGUGUAUGAGAGUGUGUGAGUGUGAGUACGCGUGUGUGUGAGCGCGUGUGAGUGUGUGUGUGUGUGUGAGCGCAUGUGAGCGCACGUGUGUGUGAGUGUGUAGGUGUUUUGUCUGCACUGUGCAGCCUGCAGGGUCUCUCAGUUUCCGGACCAGAGAUUGAACGGUUGCCCCGGGGCGAUGGAAGCGCAGAGUCCAGCCGCUGGACCCGGGAGCCCCAGGCUCUUCAGCACCGACGCCGUCUGGCCGUUCUCACUGUCCUGCUCACCCAGGCCCUCCUUCCGCCACCGCUGCCCUACAGGGGCCACAGAGACACGUAUGGCUCCCCUCAUCGGAGCAGCUUCUCGGGACCUGCCCCCCGAGUGCCAGGUGGGCACUGCCCUCUCGCCCGGACGCCCUGGCCUCUGCUCCGUCACACCUACAGCUGGCUCCUUCAGCGUCCUGCGGUCAUUGCAAGUGACCCCAAACCCUAUGGCUGUCUCCCGGCUCCUGAGGGCCUGGAAUCCAGGGGCUGCACACAGCCAUCCCACAGGGCGGGCCGAGAGCAUGUCCUCAUCCAGCUCCGGGGCCGCGCCAUCUCCUGCCUUUAUGCAGCAAGGUCCGGGGCUUGAGAACCCUGAGAACAUUGCACUGUCCCAGCGGUGGGAGGGUCACAGCACGGCCCCCACCCACAGUGGGGCCUGGGCGGUGCUGUGCCAGGCUCAGGGCUGGGGGCCGGGGGCCUGGGGAGGAGCAGAAGUGGUUACUCCCAGUGCCCCCCUGGUCCGGGCAUCUGUGCUCAUCACUGCAGACCUGGGCUCCACGGGGUGAAGAUCCUGGUGCCCAGGGAAGCCCCGUCUCUCCAGGGCACACACGGAGGACCACAGCUGAGCUGUUAAGAGCUGGUGGGUGAGCCAGCGGCCAACCUGGAGGAGCGGCGGGCCUCAGCCGGCAGGAGACCCUGGGGGCUUCGGGGCAAGUAUCUGAGAGUGACUCUAAGAGAGGAUGCUCAUGACCGUGGAGACCGCUCAAGGGCCCCCUGCACAGACUCGAGCCCAGUGGCCACCCGCAUCAGUCCUUGGAGGAGGGAGACCUAGGCUCAGACACGGGGCAGCGGGAGCUGGUGGGGGCCGGAUGGCAGACCCUCGCCUCCCCUACUCGCUGGAUCAGCGAGCUGUUCUUCCCGAGUGCCUGCUUCAGGACCACGGUCAGGGCGCGCGGGACAUGGCUGCUGGGGGGUUUACUCAUUUGCUCGCCGUUGAACAGAAGCACAGUGGCUGGACGGAUGGAGAGAGAGGGAAACGUGGGUAUAACGGACGUGUGGACAGACGGACACACAGAUUCCCUGACUCGGGCUGACAGCCGAGCCAUCUCUGGAGCCAUCACCUCAAGCCAGGCACCUGGUGCCCACUCUUCCCCACGUGGCAUAGGCUGGCAAGGCAUCACUCCCGGCGGGGUGUCUCAGCCUGCCCAUGGAGGACAGGAGGCCACGGAAGCACGCAGAGGCCGGGACCCACAGCACUGGGAUCAGUCCGAACGGAAGCCUCCACCUGGAACCUGGCCCUCUGACCCAAACCAUGGGGCCAGGACCCAUACCACGUGGCAGAAGGACCCUGUGAGCCUCAGCCAGCUCCCCACCCUCUGCACAGAGUCCCCCUGGCCCCCACCCCACAGGGGAGAAGCCAAGUCCUCCCAGACGUGCCCCUCCCGGUGCCCUGCUCUUGCCAUCCCAGCCUGCGACCAGUGAGGGGCAGGAGUCCUCCAGGAGGGACCCUCGGUCCCUGGACACCCUGCUGUCUUCAGCCCCGACUUGUGGGGAGUGCUGGGCUGAGGGCCAGUGGGAGGAUGGGGCUGUCAGGCGACAUUUGCCUGGCUGCAACCCCCACAAGCUUCAGGGCAGCCCCUCCGAGCCCCUGCAGGGGCGACAGACUCGGGCACAGGGCCAGGGACAUCCCGGGAAUUGGCCGCCUGCAAGCCCAGGUCACUCCCCAGGCCUCAGCCCCUCCCCUCCAGUCCAGGCCUGGCAUGACGCAGCUCGUCACCUCCUUCUUUCAAUGGCUGAACAAAGAAAGAAUAAGAGAAACCCUAGAUGGCUUCGGUGGGGGUCCAAACACUGUCCUACCAGCCGCCCGAGGAUGGGGCUGUAUCAGGAUGUGGGUGGGUAAGGGUUGACCACCGGGCUGGACAGAGACCAGCUUCGGGACGUCCUCUAGUCUGGGGCGCUCCCCGUUCGGAUGGCAUCGCCUCUUGCCCACCCCAGGGACGCAGAUGGGUAGGCAGAGGUGGGCAGCAGAUGGCACGAG
ensembl:lncRNA